GAUGAACGCUGGCGGCGUGCCUAAUACAUGCAAGUCGAGCGAACGGACGAGAGGCUUGCUUCUCUGAUGUUAGCGGCGGACGGGUGAGUAACACGUGGAUAACCUACCUAUAAGACUGGGAUAACUUCGGGAAACCGGAGCUAAUACCGGAUAAUAUUUUGAACCGCAUGGUUCAAAAGUGAAAGACGGUCUUGCUGUCACUUAUAGAUGGAUCCGCGCUGCAUUAGCUAGUUGGUAAGGUAACGGCUUACCAAGGCAACGAUGCAUAGCCGACCUGAGAGGGUGAUCGGCCACACUGGAACUGAGACACGGUCCAGACUCCUACGGGAGGCAGCAGUAGGGAAUCUUCCGCAAUGGGAGAAAGCCUGGCGGAGCAACGCCGCGUGAGUGAUGAAGGUCUUCGGAUCGUAAAACUCUGUUAUUAGGGAAGAACAUAUGUGUAAGUAACUGUGCACAUCUUGACGGUACCUAAUCAGAAAGCCACGGCUAACUACGUG
rnacentral:rRNA from 1 species